UUGGCCUGGAAUCAAGACUAGCAGUUUGCCGAAGCCGUUGGUUUCGAGCUGAGGCCUAAAGAAUGCCUUUCUGUUUAGAAUUUCCACUGCAGAAAUUCUAGAAUGUAACGCUUGAUUCAUUAGAAAGAAGCAUCU